rnacentral:ncRNA from 12 species
AAGCGUUCGGUCUGUUGGUGCAAGUCGAAGCGAUCACGGCGCGAAACGACCCACGUAAGUCUCCAUGUCCUCAAGCCGCCUCGGAGGACGAAGGAGUGGCAGGGCCUCCAGGUCCGCUAUUCGACCACAUGCCUUUUGGAGAUGAUCAUGGCCGGGCCGGGGAAGCGAAGAGCUUCCAAGAUUUGUGUCAGUCCUGCCGCGAGAGCGAGAGACGCCAUAAAGGGAGCGCGGGCUCUGAAGUACCGGCUAAAGCGUCCAGCAGGCGAGUGUGGGGGCUAAACCAAGGUCAGCGAACGCUU